rnacentral:tRNA from 1 species
GCGUUCAUAGUGUAGUGGUCAGCACGCUAGAUGCGUAACCGGGAGGUCCGUGGUUCGAUUCCCGGCGAAAGCG